rnacentral:rRNA from 1 species
UGGCUCAUUAAAUCAGUUAUCGUUUAUUUGAUAGUACCUUACUACUUGGAUAACCGUGGUAAUUCUAGAGCUAAUACAUGCUUAAAACCCCGACUUCGGAAGGGGUGUAUUUAUUAGAUAAAAAACCAAUGCCCUCCGGGGCUCCUUGGUGAUUCAUGAUAACUUAACGGAUCGCAUGGCCUUGCGCCGGCGACGGUUCAUUCAAAUUUCUGCCCUAUCAACUUUCGAUGGUAAGGUAUUGGCUUACCAUGGUUUCAACGGGUAACGGGGAAUUUUGUUCGAUUCCGGAGAGUCCGCCCGAGAAACGGCGAACACAUCCAAGGAAGGCAGCAGGCGCGCAAAUUACCCAAUGCUAAUUCAGCGAGGUAGUGACAAUAAAUACUGAUACAGGGCUCUUUUGGGUCUUGUAAUCGGAAUGAGUACAAUUUAAAUCCAUUAACGAGGAACAAUUGGAGGGCAAGUCUGGUGCCAGCAGCCGCGGUAAUUCCAGCUCCAAUAGCGUAUACUAAAGUUGUUGCAGUUAAAAAGCUCGUAGUUGAACCUUGGGCCUGACUGGCCGGUCCGCCUCACCGCGUGCACUGGUCCGGUCGGGCCUUUCCUCCUGGAGAGCCGCAUGCCCUUCGCUGGGUGUGUUGGGGAACCAGGACUUUUACUUUGAAAAAAUUAGAGUGUUCAAAGCAGGCCUUUGCUCGAAUACGUUAGCAUGGAAUAAUGGAAUAGGACGUGCGGUCCUAUUUUGUUGGUUUCUAGGACCGCCGUAAUGAUUAAUAGGGAUAGUCGGGGGCAUCAGUAUUCAAUUGUCAGAGGUGAAAUUCUUGGAUUUAUUGAAGACUAACUACUGCGAAAGCAUUUGCCAAGGAUGUUUUCAUUAAUCAGUGAACGAAAGUUAGGGGAUCGAAGACGAUCAGAUACCGUCGUAGUCUUAACCGUAAACGAUGCCGGCUAGCGAUCGGUUGGUGUUUUUAUCUUGACCCAACCGGCAGCUUACGAGAAAUC